CAGUAGCCACGGGAAUACGUAGGUGGCAAGCGUUGUCCGGAAUUAUUGGGCGUAAAGCGCGCGCAGGCGGAUAGGUCAGUCUGUCUUAAAAGUUCGGGGCUUAACCCCGUGAUGGGAUGGAAACUGCCAAUCUAGAGUAUCGGAGAGGAAAGUGGAAUUCCUAGUGUAGCGGUGAAAUGCGUAGAUAUUAGGAAGAACACCAGUGGCGAAGGCGACUUUCUGGACGAAAACUGACGCUGAGGCGCGAAAGCCAGGGGAGCGAACGGGAUUAGAUACCCCUGUAGUCCCUGUCUCUUAUACA
rnacentral:rRNA from 1 species